UACGUAGGGCGCAAGCGUUGUCCGGAAUUAUUGGGCGUAAAGAGCUCGUAGGCGGCCUGUUGCGUCCGCUGUGAAAUCCCGGGGCUUAACCCCGGGCGUGCAGUGGAUACGGGCAGGCUGGAGGCAGGCAGGGGAGAACGGAAUUCCCGGUGUAGCGGUGAAAUGCGCAGAUAUCGGGAGGAACACCGGUGGCGAAGGCGGUUCUCUGGGCCUGUACUGACGCUGAGGCGCGACAGCGUGGGGAGCAAACAGG
rnacentral:rRNA from 1 species